rnacentral:rRNA from 1 species
UACGGAGGGAGCUAGCGUUGUUCGGAAUUACUGGGCGUAAAGCGCGCGUAGGCGGCUUUGUAAGUUAGAGGUGAAAGCCCGGGGCUCAACCCCGGAACUGCCUUUAAGACUGCAUCGCUUGAAUCCAGGAGAGGUGAGUGGAAUUCCGAGUGUAGAGGUGAAAUUCGUAGAUAUUCGGAAGAACACCAGUGGCGAAGGCGGCUCACUGGACUGGUAUUGACGCUGAGGCGCGAAAGCCAGGGGAGCAAACGGG